rnacentral:rRNA from 1 species
UACGUAGGGACCGAGCGUUGUCCGGAUUUAUUGGGCGUAAAGAGCGUGUAGGCGGUCUGGUAGGUCCGUUGUGAAAACUCGAGCUCAACCUCGAGACGCCGAUGGAAACCCUCAAGACUAGAGUCCGGAAGAGGAGAGUGGAAUUCCGUGGUGUAGCGGUGAAAUGACGCAGAUAUCAGGAAGAACACCCCGUGGCUAAGGCGGCUCUCUAGUACGGUACUGACGCUGAGACGCGAAAGCGUGGGAGCGAACAGG